rnacentral:tRNA from 1 species
UGCCCGAUGGUGUAACGGUAGCACAGCAGACUCUGGAUCUGCGUGUCUUGGUUCGAAUCCAAGUCGGGCAGCCA